rnacentral:rRNA from 1 species
UAUAAACCCUGUCAUCCGCGCGCAAUACUCCAACUGAAUACGGUGGAUGUUGAUAGUAGUGGAAGAGGAAGGGACGGCUAACUCUGUGCCAGCAGCCGCGGUAAUACAGAGGUCCCAAGCGUUGUUCGGAAUUACUGGGCGUAAAGGGUGCGUAUGCGGCCAAAAUAGUCCGAUGUGAAAUCUUGAAGCUCAACUUCGAAACUGCAUUGGAUACUGGUUGGCUAGAGAUGUGAAGGGGAGCAUGGAAUUCUCGGUGUAGCAGUGAAAUGCGUAGAUAUCGAGAGGAACACCAGUGGCGAAAGCGAUUCUCUGGACACAUUCUGACGCUGAGGCACGAAAGCCAAGGGAGCAAACGGGAUUAGAUACCCCGGUAGUCUUGGCUGUAAACGGUGCGCAUUUGCUGUGAGUGAAUUUAACCUCACUCGUGGCGAAGCUAACGCGAUAAAUGCGCCGCCUGGGAAAUACGAUCGCAAGAUUAAAACUCAAAGAAAUUGACGGGGGCCUGCACAAGCGGUGGAGUAUGUGGCUUAAUUCGAUGCACGCGAAGAACCUUACCUAGUCUUGACAUGCUGGCAGUAGGAUCCAGAAAUGGAAACGAGGU